rnacentral:tRNA from 1 species
GUUAAAGUAUGCUAAAUUAAGCAGUUGGGCCCAUACCCCAAAAAUGGUGAGAAACACCCUUUAACA